UACGUAGGGGGCAAGCGUUGUUCGGAAUUACUGGGCGUAAAGGGCGCGUAGGCGGCAGGCCAAGUCGGGAGUGAAAGCCCGGGGCUCAACCCCGGAACGGCUCUCGAAACGGGCCAGCUCGAGUGCGGAAGAGGCAACUGGAAUUCCCAGUGUAGCGGUGAAAUGCGUAGAUAUUGGGAAGAACACCGGAGGCGAAGGCGGGUUGCUGGGCCGACACUGACGCUGAGGCGCGAAAGCCAGGGGAGCGAACGGG
rnacentral:rRNA from 1 species